UGGCACUAUCGCUUGUGCGCGACGGAGCAUUGGCCCUCGCCAGGCAACAAAAACAAAUCUCAAAGGCUAUGCUUUUGGUGCCCGCGUGCGCUGAAAGCGAGUAUACGAAAGCUACAGUACGUCACAGCCGCCAUGUAGUAACAGUAAUCUCAGAGGCUAUAAUUUUCUGCCCUUAAAGUGCCAAAAGCCUUAGCAGAAACACAAAACGCGAAAAUCGAACAACGAAUAUUUCCAAAAUAAGUAAAUAUUUCACUGUGUAAUAAUAAAAUACUUUAAAAAUUUAUUUAAGUUUGCGUAGAUGCACGUUGAUGCGUUAUAGGCCCUUUGCAAAGCAGAAGCCUUGCAGUGAUCCAAUCCAAGCCAAGCCAUCGUUGUCACGGCGUCUUUCAUUGUGCGAUUGUUUCAAGGGCAGCGCAACAGCGGACGUGUGUUGAUUCGUUUGUCACUUUCCGUGCCUGCCAAAGUCUCCUGCUCCUGCAGCUAAUAAGGUGCCAACAUGCUUAGGCUUAAGGAGAAGCCUUAUACGCGAAAGAGAGCGUCGCUGGAGACAAAGAUGCUAUUCGAGGACUUUGGAUCUCGCACCGGCAGCCAGCAGUCAACGGCUCGAGAAGUCGCAAGUGCAGAAAUGUGCAGUGGCGCAUGUACUACUCACGCAUGUGUUAACACGUGUGGUCGUGCUGUACCUGCAAACAUUUGUGUGCCUUGCGACUCUGGCCGCUGCACCGAGGCGACAUCAGAAGUUCAGGCCGCUGGUUGUGACACUGCGCGCACUACGGACAAUGUACCUUGCUUCCUUGAUGGAUCCACUCUAAGCGACUCUUCGGAUGGUUCACUUGGCUCGCCUGUGAGAGCGUCACAAGAGGAUCCCUUAGGAGAGGUGAGUGUGGGUUCUCUGGUUAGCAGGACCCCGGAGCCUACAUUUGAUUUAGCUACCGCGGACUCUUCAUCGGUGCCCUCUGACUUUGCUGAACGACUGCGCAGUUGGGCUAUUAAGGAAAAUGUUACGCAUACAGCGGUCACAUCACUGCUAAAGAUGCUCAAGACGAGUAGCUUUGACCCCUCAUCUCUCCCAAGUGACGCUCGCACUUUGCUCUCCACGCCCAGGGGUACACAACGUGCACCUGCUUUAACUGACAUGGCUCCUGGGCAAUACUGUCACUUUGGCUUGCAGUGCAGUCUAGAAAAUGCCUUGUCGGAAGCAUGUUUUAAGGGCAGCCAUGUUUCUUUGUUGUUUAAUAUUGACGGACUGCCAAUUUCUAAGAGUUCUAACAUGCAGUUGUGGCCAAUACAGUGCAUGAUUGGUGAGCAUGGCAGAGUUUCACCCUUUGUAGUCGGCAUUUUUGCUGGGCCUUCAAAGCCUGUUUCAGCGAAUGAUUUUCUGAGCCCCCUUGUCAGUGAGCUGCAGCAGCUUCUUUCGCAUGGAAUGGUUUUUGAGCACCGGGUAAUUAAGGUUUCGUCAACUUGUUUUGUUUUAGAUGCACCAGCACGGUCAUUUGUUUUUCAAAUUAAAGGACACACUGGAUAUUCUGGGUGCCCAAAGUGCACAGUAGAGGGCACAUACAGCAACAACCGACUCAGCUUUCCAGCGAGGUCCUCCACUUUGCGCACCGAUGAUUCAUUCAGGCGUCAGACUGACCCUGACCAUCACCUAGGCACCUCAGUUUUGAUGACGCUUCCCAUAGACUGUGUCGCCUCUGCACCCCUUGACUACAUGCACCUUUUAUGUCUGGGCAUUAUGAAAAAGUUGCUUAGUGCUUGGUUAGGUGGCCGUUUAGAGGUCCGUCUCGGACCUGCAGAACGAAGACGGUUGUCUGACUUAAACCUAUCUUUAGCUCCUAAUGUACCUAAAGAAUUUUCCCGCAAACCUAGAAGUGUAGCAGAGGCUGAGCGUUGGAAGGCCACAGAAUUCAGACUACUACUUCUCUACACUGGGCCUGUAGUACUCAUGCCUGUUCUACCUCCUGAUCUUUACAUGAACUUUCUUUCGCUGCACUGUGCAGUGUACAUUCUGGCAAGUCCUAGCCUGUGCCAGCAGCAUACUGAUUAUGCCGAGUCUCUUCUUAAGUACUUUGUUAAAACUUUUGCAAGAUUGUAUGGAAAUGACCAGGUUUCCUACAAUGUUCACUGUGCAUUACAUGUUGCAAAUGAUGUACGCAAGCACGGACCACUGGACAUGUUCAGCGCAUUUCCUUUUGAAAAUAAUAUGCAGUACCUCAAGCGGCUUCUAAAAAGCCACAAGACUCCACUUGCCCAGCUGUACAACCGCUUAAAGGAGCGAGAGGGAAAGGGGGCGGCAACCUUUCCAUCACUGAACGCGAUUAAAUUUACAAAAGAACAUUCAGAUGGGCCUCUCCUAGGUACCUGUGCACCACCCCAGUACAAACAGGCCACGUUUGCUAGCUUCAUCCUCAGUGUAGAUGUUCCUGAUAACUGCUGCAUAAUAGAUGGCUCUGUCGUGAUUGUAGAUAGUUUCGCACACUUUAGAGCUACACAAGCACCUUGCAUCAUUGGUCGCGAAUUCAUGGUGAAGGAAAACUUCUAUGAUAAGCCAUUUUCUUCUUGUACCAUUGAUGUUUAUGUGGUUUCACAGCUUUCUGAUGUUAAAUGUUGGCCAUUAAGGAAUGUGCGUAAGCUUGUCAGGUUACCCUGGCAUGGGAAAUUUGUUAUAAUUCCAUUGCUGCAUAUGUCUUAAUCGCAGGUGUUAUACCUGUGCCACACGGGCGAGGUUAAUGGCAUUAAAUGUUUAAGACCUAAGUUUCUUAAUGCCAUUAUACCAAAGCUAGCUCGACGGCCAAUCCAUAGCGUAGCCAAAGCAUUGAAAUUGGAAAAAUAGCGCUCACAGCUUCAAAGCUCCCAAGCAGCGAUCCUGAAAAAUGUGACCGUGUGCUCCAGUUUGUUCUGACAUACGUGCUUCGAGUCGAGCAUCGUUGAGAAAUUCGAAGGCUUCAGUAUGAGGCCAACAAGGCAAGUAGCCGCCGCUGUGCAAUCGAACAGCUUCUCCUGGCUAAUGCGCUCACGAUUAGAGCUGUGGCCGUGAGUAGCGCCAAGAUCGCCUGCUGAUCUCUACGAAAAUAAAAAGCUCCUUUUAAAAAAGUGAAGAAUGUAUUAGUUGUUUUGAUCUACAAGUUUGUUUAAUAUCGUGAGGAUAUGGUCACUGCAGCCACGGCGGGAACAUUGUAAAUGAGAGUACGCAUUCGAUGGCCAAGUGAGUUUCAAUAAUUGUAAGAACUCACUACGCCGCAAGAGAGAGCUAUUUUUUAAAGAAAGUCAAGAAUAUAUUAAUUGUUCUUCACUAAUAGUUCGUUUAGUCACGUCAGAUUGGGGAGACAUUGGGAACCAGAGUACGCAUUCGACGGCAAAGUGAGUUACGAGAACGCACUACAUUGCGAAUGGCAUUUAAGCUUGAAUACCAUUAAGCAUGUCCGUGUGGCACCCCGCAAAUUACAUUAAAGUUUAAGGCAUUACCCAGUUAAUGUCAUUUUAUGUGCCCGUGUGGCAGGGAUAUGAGUGCUAUUCAAGUGAUGUAGUCAAGAUUAAUUCCUUCAUGUCAUUUCUGUUGCUUUCGCAGUUUAGUAAUGCUAAUUCAUGUCUUUUUGCUCUCUUUCUUUCAGCAUUCUGGGCUCCGUUGGAGCCCAGAAUGCUCCGUUGGAUUUUGUGUUUGUCUGCGUAUAACUACAGCCUUCAGUACAGGCGAGGCCAAGAAAACUUCAACGCAGACGCACUCAGUUGUCUGCCAGCUCCGGGAGACGAAGACGAGCCACAGCUACCUGGGGACGUGCUCCUGUUGGAAGCAGUCGAGUGCGCACCGCUGCAGGCGGCAGACAUCGCUGCGCUGAUCAAGAAGGACAAAGUAUUGUCCAUGGUAAAGGACUGGAUCCUUAGUGGCUGGCCGUCAACACAACUGGACAGCAAGUUCGCGCCUUACGAGGUGAGGAAGACGGAGUUGUCGUUGCAUCGUGAUUGCAUACUGUGGGGGAAUCGCGUUGUAAUUCCUCACGCAGCAAGAGAAAGUGUGCUUCAACUCCUACAUGCAAAUCACCCUGGGAUGAGUGCUAUGAAAGCGUCAGCUAGAGGGCUCAUGUGGUGGCCGAAAAUGGACCACGAAAUUGAAGAGUUUGUACGACACUGUCAGCCAUGUCAUAGUAACCGGCAAAGUGAUCCCAAGGUUCCAGUGCAUUUUUGGAUCAAUCCAGAUCAACCUUGGAGUCGCCUACACAUUGAUUUCGCUGGUCCAGUUAAUGGAGAAGUAUUUUUAAUCGUGGUAGACGCGUACAGCAACUGGGCUGAGGUCGAAAUCAUGUCAUCCAUAAAAGCUACAGCUGUCGUCACCAGCUUAAGGAAGAUGUUUGCGACACACGGUAUGCCAGACGUUAUCGUUUCGGAUAAUGGCACAGCAUUCACUAGCUCGGAGUUGCAAACGUUUUUAAAGUGCAAUGGUGUGCGUGCUAUUUUCACUGCUCCUUACAAUCCCGCCAGUAAUGGCAGGGUGGAGAGAAUGGUAAGAGAAGUUAAAGAAGCAACAGGAAGGUUCAACGCAGUGCAAGAUUUCACGGUUCCUGUUUAAACAGCACACGACGCCGCAUUCGGUCACGGGGAAAUCUCCGGCAGAAUUGAUGUUCGGACGAAGGCUGAGGACAGCCUUGGACAGACUUCAUCCGGACCGGCAAUACGUGCCGGAACCGCAACGACCGGAGAUUAAGAGGUUCCAUGUCGGUAACGCGGUCUAUGCUAAAAGCUUCUGUCCAGGUCCAAGGUGGAAGGCGGUCAGGGUUGUGGCAGUGCGAGGCCUGGUGUCGUACAUCGUCCAGUUGGACAACGGCGAACGCCAUCACAGGCACCGGAACCAGUUGAGGAGCGCCUGGACGAGGCUCGAAGCCGAUCCAGUCUGAAGUGCAGACUACCACGUCAGGCUGCCUCCUACAGCCAGACGACCACAACAGCCGCCGGUCAGCACGGAAGCAGCCGCAGGGGCAAGACCGGGCCAAGCUACCCAAGACCCGGUCGAGACGCGAAGAUCAACACACGUUAGACGGCCUAUCGCACGUUAUGGCAUUGAUGACUAACCAGACAUUUUGCAAUUGUGUAACGAAUCUUAGGGGAAAGGAAUAUUGUAUAUUGAUAUCGCGUGUCAUACUACAUUUUCAUGAUAAUCGCUUAUCGGCCACGCAAGCAUCAGUCGGCAGAUCACAUGUUCAUCACCCUAUAAAAAGGGCACGGCAUCAAUAGACGUCUGUUCCACCCUGGCGUCCGGCUAAUACGCUACACUUUCUUUUCGAGAGCAGUUUACUGUUGUUAACAAUUUCUCUUCCCCGACUUCUGUUAGCUCUGGUGUGCCACAAGGCAGCGUCCUCGGCCCCUUACUCUUCUCAAUCUCCAUUAACGACUUACCCGCCCAGAUUACUUCCUGCAUGCGCCUUUUUUCCGAUGACUGCAUAAUCUACCGUCCUAUUCACACGACUGACGAACUUCAAGCAGAUCUUAACCUUAUCGCUAACUGGUGUAACAAAUGGCUCAUGACACUAAACUGUACAAAGUGCGAGGUGAUGUGCUUCAGCCGAAAAUGUGUAAGUUCUAAAAAUUCAUAUCAUCUUAAUAACACUAUGUUUUCCCACACUUCAUCAUAUAAGUACCUUGGUGUUGUUCUUGCAGAGAAUCUUUCAUGGACCCCACACAUCACUUCUACAUACACCAAAGCAUCACAUUCUCUUGGCUAUCUACGGCACAACUUGCGAAAUGCCCUGCCAAACAUUCGAAAACUCGCUUUCCACACAUUCAUUUUGCCACAGUUAGAAUUCGCCUCCCCAAUUUGGUCCCCUCAUCAAAAUUACCUAAUAAAUAUGACGGAAAUGAUACAAAACAGAGCAGCCCGGUUCAUAUCCCAUAACUACAGUAGAAACUCAAGCAUUACACAAAUUAGACUAGACCUACUGUUGCUGCCAUUAGAUGUCCGCCGCAACAUCGCUCUUCUCUGCUUAUUCCACAAAUAUAUUUACACUAAUAAACGAACCCGGUUACAAAUACAAAUACCACACUCUUUUUCACGCAGAUUACAUAAUCAGUUGAGUUUCAUGCGCACAUAUGCUAAAACAAAUGCAUUUAAUUCAUCUGCACUACCACGUGUCAUUCGUCUCUGGAAUGACCUCCCUGAUAACACAGCCUCCAUAUCUAAUCCCGACACGUUCAGCUCUCAGUUACUCAUGCUUUUCCCAUUUAAUACCAUUCACGAGUGACAAAUCUAGUGUAUGUUAUCGUGUAUUUUUGCCAUGUUGUAUAUCAUUUUCAGAAACGGUAUUCCUUUGGUCUGUUAACAGUAACAAGUGUUCAUGUGCCUUCAGAUAUUGCUUUGUAUUCCUAGUGCCUUCAAUAUUGUGUAACACGGUAAUCUCUUUCUGGCAGUGUUCCUCUUGGAAAUUUGAACGUUUUAUAUCUUUACUGUUUAAUAGGCCCCCCUUAAUUACUUUAUGCCCUGCCAUAAGGCCUGUAAGGUUCUUUUGAAUAAAUAAAUAAAUAUUUGCUUUUUGGCCUUUAUAUGUAUAUGUAUGAGGUGACAAUAAAAGAUUAAUUGUAUUUGGAA